rnacentral:ncRNA from 1 species
AAUAACGUGUAGAAAUUAGGUGCUUUUUUACGUUUGUAUAAAAGCUUAAAAGGGAAGUUCGGUGAAAAACCGACGCUGUCCCGCAACUGUAAAUGGGAGUACUCUUUUCAAAUCCACUGUUCGUUACGAAUGGGAAGGGAAAAGAACGCGAUGAUCAUGAGCCAGGAGACCUGCCUAUUUCAGUACACACCA